AUUGGUUCACCAGGUUAAACUUGGUGACAGGGUUUCUUUAGCCUAUUGUUGGUUGUGCUCUACCUGGGCAUUUGCUCACAUCUCCAACAGGCCCAUGUAGAGAAUUUAUAUGUAACUUACUAUUGUGUUCCAAGGCCAGCUCCAUUGAGUGCGGUAUAAAAGAGCCUCACAUUUCACAAAAGUGGAAACCAAGACACAAAGGUUAAAGAGCUCCCAAAAUAACACAGAGAAAGAGAAGUGGAGGUUUCUCAAUUGGCAGGGGAAGGAAGUGGGUGAGUCUGGAUCAGGUUAAGGAAAAGGAGAGAAGGAGUGUGGACAGAGCCCUAAGAUCCUGGUGAGAGAUGAAGGAAGUGUGUGUGCAUACGUGUAGCACAGAGGAAGAUAUAUGUCAGGGCAAGCAUCAUUUCCACCAGUCUUAACCCCAUAAAAACUAUCAAGUGAAAAUAAUUUAAAACAAGGACACUUAGGAUGGAGUCCCAUGUGUGAGCAGUGUGAUGUCAUUUAAGAUAGAGUUUCACUUGUGAGUAGCGUGAUAUACUGGUGCAAGUUGAGGUCCUCAUAACUGGUGUUCAAGUCCUUUCUGGGGGAGCUUGGAGCCUACCGACAUUUUAGAAGAAUGAAAUCACUUGAAACAAGCCCCCUUCAGAAGCGACCCAUUACCUUCCUGAUUCUACAAAUGAGUACAUGGAGAUACCCCUGGAAGAUCUACAUGAAUUUAAUAUUAGUAGCUGUCUGAUGUUUCAUUCAAUUGGCUAUGGCUGCAAGGAGCUGCAACCAAUCCAAUUGUUCCUGGUCUUCUGCAGCCUCAGGUACCCCAGGAUUCUUAUUAGUGAUGCAUGUCACCACUUGAAUCAACAAGUGUCACUUCUGUUAUCAGCAAAACCUAUUGCUCCAAGGUCCUGCUUCACAGAAAGAGAAAGGGUCAAGGCCACAGCUUCUAGAUGAGACAUCUCAAGCCCAGGAACUAAAUGAGCCGCUGAGAGUCAACUCGUGAAAGACACCCCCCCUUAAUGCUGCCACUGUCUACCAACUAAGGGAUAUUAAGCUUUAGAAGUUG
rnacentral:lncRNA from 1 species